rnacentral:rRNA from 1 species
UACGUAGGGGGCUAGCGUUGUCCGGAAUCAUUGGGCGUAAAGCGCGUGUAGGCGGUCCGGUAAGUCCGCUGUGAAAGUCGGGGGCUCAACCCUCGGAUGCCGGUGGAUACUGUCGGGCUUGAGUACGGAAGAGGCGAGUGGAAUUCCUGGUGUAGAGGUGAAAUUCGUAGAUAUCAGGAGGAACACCGGUGGCGAAGGCGGCCAUCUGGACGACUACUGACGCUGAGGCGCGAAAGCGUGGGGAUCAAACAGG